CCGCGCCCAGCCCGGGCUCAAUGGCUCAUUAUGUCCGGCAAGAAUAGGCCGGGUCGGGCGGGACUCCGCCAGCCGUCCCGGCUCUUGGGAAUCCUGUCGCAGUCAGGGCUCGGCUCCUCCCACCUACAGGAACUUAACGUGGCACAGGCCUGCGGCCUCCCACGGGACACCCACAGAGAGGGAGACCCCAGCACAGAAAGCGCUGCGUCUUCUGAGGGGCUCUGACGCGGGGCGCGGGGACUUCAGCUGUCACUCCUCCAUGCUGUGUUGAGUUCCCAGAACUGAGGGGUGCCCGUCCCGUGUGUGUGUGCUGCUGCUUUUCCCAGCCCCGUCACUGGCCAGACACCUCGCCGGGACCCUCGAGACGACACCAGAGCCUCAGCCUGCAGGCCGCCUCGAAGCACGCUGCAGCUUGGGUGUGGACGCUCCAGGAUGAGGCCUCCGUGACCGAGGCGGCCUGACCCCCCACUCACCCUGGUCCGGCCCUGGGCACCCCUAGUGAGGCCAGUCCCGGAGACCCGCCCCACCAGCCCCGACGCACCCUGUUCUCGGCACCAAGACUGGCUCUUCCUGACUGGGAUCGCCCCAUCCCUCGUUCCGCGUCCUGUCCUGUAUCUCUUUGACAACACUGUCUGGAGCGGUCAGUUUCCCCCGGGAGAAGCGAGGCCUAGAGGAUGGGGCAGGUGGCCUGAGUUAACCAGAGACGAGCCGGCCCCGGAGCUGGACGGGGCUCUGUGGGGCGCCCGUCCCCCUCACCUGCGGGUGAAGUGCCCUGCAGGGCCGCGGGGUCCGCUUAGAGGAAAGUCAGGCAUCUGCGCCCGGCCCCGUGCCGGACUCGGACUUGACGUUCCUGGAUCUUGUCCAGCCUCACUUCCGGUCCGACCCCGUGGCCUCCUACUCAGGACAGGCCAAAGUCGAGGCUGCCUCCCCCCUGCCAGACGGCGCGACUCAGACGCCCGCACCCCGGCAGCCCAGUCCCUCGCCGGUUCCGUUUAUCCUGAAUGA